rnacentral:rRNA from 1 species
UACGAGGGGGGCGAGCGUUGUCCGGAUUUACUGGGCGUAAAGGAUGCGUAGGCGGACAUUUAAGUCAGAUGUGAAAUACCCGAGCUUAACUUGGGUGCUGCAUUUGAAACUGGGUGUCUAGAGUGCAGGAGAGGUAAGUGGAAUUCCUAGUGUAGCGGUGAAAUGCGUAGAGAUUAGGAAGAACGCCAGUGGCGAAGGCGACUUACUGGACUGUAACUGACGCUGAGGCAUGAAAGCGUGGGGAGCAAACAGG